GCGUUGUCCGGAUUUAUUGGGCGUAAAGAGCGUGUAGGCGGCCAGGUAGGUCUGCUGUGAAAACUCGAGGCUCAACCUCGAGACGUCGGCGGAAACCAUCUGGCUAGAGUCCGGAAGAGGAGAGUGGAAUUCCUGGUGUAGCGGUGAAAUGCGCGGAUAUCAGGAAGAACACCCGUGGCGAAGGCGGCUCUCUGGGACGGUACUGACGCUGAGACGCGAAAGCGUGGGGAGCGAACAGG
rnacentral:rRNA from 1 species